UCCGGUUGAUCCUGCCGGAGUGUCACUGCUAUCGGGGUUCGAUUAAGCCAUGCGAGUCGAGAGGGUUCAGACCCUCGGCGGACUGCUCAGUAACACGUGGAUAACCUGACCUGUGGUGGAGCAUAACCCCGGGAAACUGGGGAUAAUACUCCAUAAGUUACGAUAUCUGGAAUGAUUUGUAGCUCAAAGCUCCGGCGCCACAGGAUGGAUCUGCGGCCGAUUAGGUAGUAGUUGGGGUAGAGGCCCAACUAGCCUGUAAUCGGUACGGGUUGUGGGAGCAAGAGCCCGGAGAUGGAAUCUGAGACACGAUUCCAGGCCCUACGGGGCGCAGCAGGCGCGAAAACUUUACAAUGCAGGAAACUGUGAUAAGGGAACCCCGAGUGCCCGUACACGCGGGCUGUCUGGGUGUAUAAAAUGCACCCAAAGAAAGGGCCGGGCAAGACCGGUGCCAGCCGCCGCGGUAAUACCGGCGGCUCGAGUGGUGACCACUUUUAUAUGGGCUUAAAGCGUUCGUAGCUGGACUGCUAAGUCCCUUGGGAAAUCCGCCGGCUUAACCGGUGGGCGUCUAAGGGAUACUGGAAGUCUUGGGACCGGGAGACGUACGAGGUACUCCGAGGUGUAGGA
rnacentral:rRNA from 1 species